GCUAACGAUGAUGAACAUUUUUCAUAUAUUUGUUGAUUGAUUGUUUAUCCUCUGCUGAGAAGUGUCUGGUUGAGGUCCUUGGCCCAUGUAUUGAUUGGGCCCACCUUUUAAUAAUAACUUUAUUUCAGACCACGUUGGAGAGCUCAUUCUCAGCAAUCAUGAGAAUCACACUUCUCUUGGGGCUUUCUUCCCCCUUAACUUUUUAGGUAUAAACAUCACUGAAACUUUAAUUUUAUAUCCUGUUUAUUCGACAAACUGUAUUAAAUAUUUAUGAAUUCUGGAAAUGGGGAUGAGUUGGAGAGCUUAUAGUUCAUGCUUUCCACUGCUUCAUUGCUUUUACGUUGCUUUCUCCUGUUUCACAGUAGUCUGUACUUGAUGGUUAGACAUUGGCAUGCAUGAUCUCAGGAAUUCUCUUCACUUAAUUAGCAACAGCAAUAACAACAACAACAAAAUUGCCUUCCUCUAUACAAAGUGUCAAUGAGAUAAGUAAGCAGUGUUACCUAGAAAGAAUAUCUGCAAAAUUAAAUGACAUGAAUGGUUUUCAUCAUAACAAGAUGAACAGCCUCAAGUAUCCCAUCUGAUAUCCAUGUUGCAGUACCAUUUUUCUCUACCUCCCUUUUCCCACCCCUUCUUUCUUCUUUAUGUAUAGCUUUCACUUCCUCUCCAUAAUUGUUAUAGCAACUUUCUUCCCUUGUGAGAUAUCUUGUCUCUCCCUCUUCUAGUCCUUCUGACUCUCAUGCCCUUAGAUUCUAAUAUGCCC
rnacentral:lncRNA from 1 species